GUCAGCGCUACACUUUCCCUUUAAGAAUCAAGCUCAGAGAGUAGAGUCACGCUCAGCCAAUUAGAUAAACGAUUUUUUUGGGAGGAGGGUGCAAUCUGAGCAACCAGUGGGUGGAAUGUUUUGGUGUCUUGGCAACGGAUAUAAAAUGUUCGUGAAAAAAUACAUACCGGUAGAGUACGAGCACACUUCCCCUGGAAAUAGUCAUUCGAUUUAAAUGUAUAUUGAUACAAUGAAAAGUGUCGGCUCCUUGGAAGUCAGGUGACGUGAUUUAAAUAUCUACCCCUCUGAAUCUACCGCGUAAAUCUGGCCCAAAUCGUUGCAGGCGUUUAUUGUGUUGUCAAUUUCAUUUUCAGUGCCCAUUUCUUCCUGCUUUUCUUUGUGUUCGUUUCACGCAGACACAAUACUCAAUUUGUACAUUUGCCACGGCUGGCUUCUUGUUUACCAGAAAAAAAAUGAUUGCAACUGGAAUACAUAUUAUCAAUUUGUUACUGUUACUGGUCUAAAAAAAAAAAAAAGAAAUUGACAGCCAGCAGACAUUUGGUGGCUUUUACCGACCAACAUAAAUCAAACCCUUGCCUUGAGACUGACGUGUGAAAGGAUCGCAUGAGUGAGUGGUUGACACCGACUGUAAAAAGUUGUUCUCAUAGUAUAGUACUCACAUCUUGUAAUGCUUCGAAACUCUGAAGCUCAGUGGUUUCAGCUGAGCGCAACAUGUCUAGUAAAGUAUUCACCCGGGAGCCCUGCUGAAGUUCACGUUCAUUUAUAUGUAUGGUCUUGCAUAAACUACAGUACUGGCAGGAUUCUGCUGCAAACUACCUGGGCAAAGCAUAUCUUAUAAUGUCCAAGCAAUUUCAGAAAUGACACUUCCGUCAAUCAAGUUGCUCUGCUGUCUCUUUGCUGUAAGUGGGUUAGUUUAGGUCUGUAUUCUAUAGGUAUGUAGUGGACAAUAUCCAGAAGCGAAUGGGUCCAGAUCCAGUAUAAAUGCAAACCUUUUUGAAAUCCCAGCUGUGUAUUGUUGCUUUUUUUCCCACAAUUGUUAGCCUGUGUGCGCUUUUUUGGAUGUUUAUUGACUCCUCACGAAAAUUCAUGCAAAUUCCUGAAAGCAAUAUUCUAGUAUUCGCUGACAGCUGUACGAUGUGCUACCCUUGUGGGAAUCAUAUCAUUUUCAUAGACUUGGAAACAAAGAAGCAGCGUGUGCUUCAGAGCCCAGGAUGGAGAAACGGUGCCUUUACAGUGAAUGCGCGCACCAGGGAGGUGGCCUUCUCAGAGCAGAGACUUAACCCCUCCAUCUAUGUGUACACGUUCCCUCAGUUUGAAAAGCAGAAUGAGCUCAAAGGAAAAGCCCAGCUGGAGUAUACAACACUGGCUUUUAGCUAUUCUGGCCCAUAUUUAACCAGUUACUCCUCAGUUCCGUACUAUACCCAAACGAUAUGGUGAAAAUGUAAAACUGGCAAGAUGGGGUCCCUCUCUGCAGUCAAGCCCAACCAGGAGUAGAGGUCACGAGACUGAUGUUUAACCCCAUGAACUGGCAUCAAUUGUACAGGACCAGUGAGAGAUCUCUUAAAGUUUGGAACACUGAGAGAAGUGACGCUCUUCAUUGUAUGAAACCCAUGAGGCCAGUCAGAAGAAGAAUGUGGAGGUGACUGAGGACCACAGUUACACCAGCCUGCCUUUAGUCAGCCCUGUGGAUGCCACUUGACUCUAUGAGAAGCUGGAUGAGGCAAUCAAAGAGGAGAGCCUGGAGUUCACAGAUACAAAGAAAAGCCUGAGGAAAGGCAUUAAAGAGCUUCAGAGGGCAGUAAGCAUCAUGGGCUAAAUGCAACACAGAAAAAGAGUCUAAUGAUGACUAAGAAACAUUAACCCACCAAUAUCUAACCAGUGAAUUUCAGCGUUUAUGCAAUGGUUAAAAGAUCCAGGCUAUGAUGCGUGAGAAUGAAUCCUUGCCCGAGAUUGAGAAACUUGAACAGCAGGAGUUUAACCUGGAUGUGGAAGAGCAGAAUAGGUUACAAGUUGAGGGGGAACAGGAAGUUGCCAGGGCAUUCUGCUCAGAAUAUGAAGUGAAGAAAUAUCCAAUGAAGGACUGAACUCGGAAGGAGACUGAUACAUUACGCGGCGAGAAUUAUCCUGGCUGAGGAUGUUAUCUUAAAAUUAAGUUUUCCAGCAAGCACACAGCAUGUGAAUAUUUGGUUGUAUGACUACUGGAAAACCAGGACCCAGCAUAGGGUUGUUAGUGAAACUGCAUAUGCAUCAAUUCUGCCUCUUAGGACAGGUCAGGUGUUGCUACUAGGGGUGGCUGGUACAAUUAGGAAGGGGUUAAAACAUCCAACACUCCUUUCUUUCAGGAUGUCAUUCACAGCGUUAAAUUAGCUUUCAACAAGAAGUUUGAGUCUAUUUUCAAGCAGAAGGAACAGGAGAUCAAUCGGGUAAAGGACAAGAACCAGAGGCUUCUGGAGAUAUUGACGGAGCUGGAUCUGAAGGAGAAGCUCUGGGAACCAGAGCUCUGUGAUAAUGAAAAGCCAGAGCAGGCUCUCACUGUGGACGUUUCAGAGAUCAGAGCUGAAAAAUAUCUCACUCCAGAACAGAAGCGGAAAGCAGAAGAGCUAGCCAAGAUUGAGGAAAAAAGAAGGCUGGCUGCAAAGGGUGACAACGCUAGAGCGAGCUCUUGAUGACAUGAUGGGUGGAGUCCUUGUGGUGAAAAAAGAUGAUAUUUUAAAAAUGGAGAUCCCACAGCCAGAGUUCAUGUCCAAGCCUGAAGCACAAUGGUUGGAAGAUGAGAAGAAGCAGUUUAAAGAAUAUGAAAAGAAAGUGAAGGAAUUGAACGAGGAACGAGAAAAAUACAUAAAGCAAAAAUGAAGAAACUGCAGACCUCCAUCAAGGACUCGACCCAGGUCUUCAAUGAAACACUGCGCAGACUGUUUGAGAGGAAAGUGUAAUCUGAAAUGGUGAUCUACCAGGAGGAGCUCAAAAUUUCAAAUCUGGUAUUCUCAAUUGUUACUGAGGAAGAGUUGUUUAACAGGGAAACAGAGCUCAAUCACCACCUUGAUAAGACAAGGAAGAUGAAGACAUUAGGGGAACAAAAGAUAGCGAGCAUGGUGGAGAGUAAAGACUUCCGAACGGGAAUCAUCCAGCAGGAAUGGGAACACAUGAGAAUGAGAAUGCAGAUGGAGGAUCUGAACAACAAGGCUCGGGAUAUCCAGAUGCUGAAAGUGUCCAGAGAACUGCAAGUGCUGUGGAAGAUAACACAGCGAUCAGCACGGAAAAAAGAUACCAAGACAUCAUUGAGAGACGGAAGCUGGUGGACUUGGCAAGGACACAAGCCCAAAAUGUUGCCACCCUCAAAGCAGAGGUUGAGAGGCUGAGAAUGAAGAUUUUCCCUGCAUUGUUUCAAAUAGGACACUGAGCUUUACAAGAGCAGAACAAAUUACCCUUACAAAAUUGGAUAGACUGACACAUUUUAGCUCGUACAACAAAAAGACCCAUGUCAUUUAAUUUAUAGAAUAGUAUUUCACUUAAAUCUUUCAAUAUUGUUGUUAACAUAUGUCAUUAACUUAAUAAAAUAACAAACAUGUUUUUCCUUUUAAAUAAAGCUUUACACAAAACCUCA